GGGAUUGUGGCUCAGUGGCAGAGCACUUGCCUAGCACGCUUGAGACAUGGGUUUGAACCUCAUCACUA
rnacentral:tRNA from 1 species